CCCGUUUAAAUGGGUGCACAGCUGAGGUUGAAGCAUACUCAAAAGCCAAAGUGGAUCUCUUAGUCUGGCUCUUUGCUGACUGGCUGGCAUUGAAUAAGGAGGACAAGAUGCUGUGGGCCUCCAGGCUGCAUCUGUCUGGCCAAAUAGAAGCUUUUUCUUUUUUUCCAAGGCAGCUGUGGUGCAGGCACCCAAUGAAGUUUUUGUAGCAGCUGGAAAAAAAAAUUUACAGGAGGACAAGUCAUGCCAGAAAUGGUGAUGGUAAUGUUACAUGGAAGCCCUCAACAUGUGUGUCCUGCCCCUCUCCCCCCCUCCCCUCCACAAGCUGGGCAGCUCAGCCGGCCGGCAUUUCUUGGCUCUUCCCGCCUGCCUGUGGAAGAUGACUGAGAAUGCAGACUGUGGGAGGAAACGACAAUGUUCAUUGUUUGGAUUAAAUAUUUUU